UAUUACACCAACAGAUUAUCUAACAGCUUUCCUGACCAAUCAUUGGUCAGAUGGCCAAUUACACACUCAGAUCUUUUGUUAUACACAGCAACUAUUGGUCCGAUUGGACAGAUAUUGAUCAGAUAAUCUGCUGGUACAUUACAAACAGCCCU